CCGCCCCCAGCAGACUGACUGCCAACCACUGGCAGCAGAGACAAGCCAUCGCAGCCCGGCCUUGCCCAACUCGUCAACCCAGAGAACUGCGAGGCAUUGAAGCAUUCUAGUUUGAAGCCACUGUUCCAGAGUGUGUGUUAUGGAGCAAAAGAUAAUCAAGGUCAACCAGGUGAGGCAGACAUGGUUACCUUCAUUUACCCUUGACAGAGGAAAGCACUGAGGCACGAGAAAGAGAAGGAACUUGACCAAGAUGGCAGAACAGGAGCCACCAGGAUUACCUGCUGCAUAUUAAACUGUUCUUUUGGUGAUUUAAUACUGUGGAGGGACGGCCUGAACUGAGCUUGAGGUAAAUCUUUGUUCUGAGACUCACCCUCUUGAACGGACCACUCCUCACAGAGCCCCCUGACAGAAAACUUUCCCAGGGCCUCUGUAGGGACUCUCCAUAGCUUCCAAGUUCCCUUUAACUUCAAUUUGUUUUAAAGUAGCACAUUCCUUUGACUGCUGGGAGAGGUUGUUUACUUCCCACAAACAAAUGCCCUUCUGGAGGCUGGCAAGACAGACCCUUGGUUUUUUGAUUGUUCGUUUUUUAAACAAUGUAUUUAUUUAUU